rnacentral:lncRNA from 1 species
UAGUUAUAAUUAGGACUCGAUGAUCCUUGUGGGUCCCUUCUGACUCAAGAUAUUCUAAUACAAAGAGAAAGCUCCAAGAGAUACUCUGCAGCCACUCCAUACAGAAAGCCUUUCAUGGGAGAGCUGCCCACCAAUGCUCCCUUUCCCAAUGGCCCUCAUAUGCACAAAUUUUCCUCAUAAUUUUCCCCGCAGCUUGAGAUCCAGCUCUGCCUAUCAGGCCUGCCAGAACCUGUGACCCCAUGUCCUGGCAAAGGGAUGCACUUGGAAUGAUAUGGACCACUGCCUUCUCCAUUCUUCUGCUUCAAGCACCCUGAUUUCCGUGGUGGAUGAGUCACUGGCUGGCACCUAGGCUGGGAAGAUGGAUGAGCCACCCCCAUGCUGCUGACACAGUCUGAAUACAGACUUCCUGCUCUUACCUAGGUAUGAGAUCAGGAAGAGAAGAUGUGCUUCCUAAGAAAAAGUGACUGGAUUUGUUCUGGGCUUCCUGUGGGAUUCUGGGAGAAAAAUGAAAAGGCUUUGCUGCUUUAUGAGGGUGCCCAGGAAGGCUCCAGCUGUGACAAAUUGCAGGGGAACCAUGAGACAUCCCCAUGGGAAGAGUCCCACGUGUCAGGAGGUGUUUGGAGGUGACCCAGGGCAGAAGGCAACCAAGUGGACUUUGACUCCAGGCUAGAGGGGGAUCAAUGAGUUUUGCUUUCACUAAUCUGUGAAUCUUGCUUACAGGGACUGUGGCUGCCAGGCAUCCCUGAACAGGUAAUAAUUAGCAUUGACUCCAUGAUUCACAGAAGGCUGAUCAAUCUCUAUAUUAUAUUAUGUUAUGUUAUGUUAUGUUAUGUUAUGUUAUGUUAUGUUAUGUUAUGUUAUGUUAUGUUAUGUUAUGUUAUAUUAUAUUAUAUUAUAUCAUUAUUAAGAAACCCAUUGCUUUUAUAGACAGUUACGAUACACCUGGACCUAACUGGUCCUUUAAUUAAAACACCAUUUCCAUUGGCUAAUUAAGAAAUCACCCUUUGGUAAACUAAUCUCCAUAACACAUUCCACAUGUUCACAAUGAGAGGUGCAGCAGGUUAAGAUAAGAAUUAUUUAUCAUUCUUUUCUCUGUUCUUCUCACAGCCCUUCCCAGAAAGGCCUGGGAAAGUUGCGUGUUGUUCUCUGUGGCCAGACAACUGCUGCCACAAGCAACAGCAUGAGAUACUCUUACUUUUUUCUUUUCAUUUUUGCCUUCCAUUUAUUUCCUUUCCAGAAACUGUGUCCUCUUGAGUUCUCUGGCUGGGAACAGUGAACUCAUCCAUCAGUGAACUCAUCCCUCAUCCAGGCAGGCUCAGGUUCUCAUGGCCUGGCCCAGACUUCCCAAUCACCCCACCACUCACAGUGAGUCUCCCUGUUACUGGGAGAAAAGAUCAAGGGUCUGUUUUUUUUUUUCUUUGCACCAUCUCAUGGUGAAAGUGUCUUUCUGACUGUACCCCAUGGCAUCACCUUCACUCGCCACGGGAAUGUCUGCUCACAUCCAACAUGCCCACAGAGGUCAGGGGCCA